CUCCUGACUGACCGAUAGUGAACCAGUACCGUGAGGGAAAGGCGAAAAGAACCCCGGCGAGGGGAGUGAAAAAGAACCUGAAACCGUGUACGUACAAGCAGUGGGAGCACCCUUUGGGGUGUGACUGCGUACCUUUUGUAUAAUGGGUCAGCGACUUAUAUUCUGUAGCAAGGUUAACCGAAUAGGGGAGCCGGAGGGAAACCGAGUCUUAAUUGGGCGUUAAGUUGCAGGGUAUAGACCCGAAACCCGGUGAUCUAGCCAUGGGCAGGUUGAAGGUUGGGUAACACUAACUGGAGGACCGAACCGACUAAUGUUGAAAAAUUAGCGGAUGACCUGUGGCUGGGGGUGAAAGGCCAAUCAAACCGGGAGAUAGCUGGUUCUCCCCGAAAGCUAUUUAGGUAGCGCCUCGUGAAUUCAUCUCCGGGGGUAGAGCACUGUUUCGGCUAGGGGGCCAUCCCGGCUUACCAACCCGAUGCAAACUGCGAAUACCGGAGAAUGUUAUCACGGGAGACACACGGCGGGUGCUAACGUCCGUCGUGAAGAGGGAAACAACCCAGACCGCCAGCUAAGGUCCCAAAGUCAUGGUUAAGUGGGAAACGAUGUGGGAAGGCCCAGACAGCCAGGAUGUUGGCUUAGAAGCAGCCAUCAUUUAAAGAAAGCGUAAUAGCUCACUGGUCGAGUCGGCCUGCGCGGAAGAUGUAACGGGGCUAAACCAUGCACCGAAGCUGCGGCAGCGACGCUGAUGCGUUGUUGGGUAGGGGAGCGUUCUGUAAGCCUGUGAAGGUGGCCUGUGAGGGUUGCUGGAGGUAUCAGAAGUGCGAAUGCUGACAUAAGUAACGAUAAAGCGGGUGAAAAGCCCGCUCGCCGGAAGACCAAGGGUUCCUGUCCAACGUUAAUCGGGGCAGGGUGAGUCGACCCCUAAGGCGAGGCCGAAAGGCGUAGUCGAUGGGAAACGGGUUAAUAUUCCCGUACUUGGUGUUACUGCGAAGGGGGGACGGAGAAGGCUAUGUUGGCCGGGCGACGGUUGUCCCGGUUUAAGCGUGUAGGUGUGUGUUCCAGGUAAAUCCGGUUCACUUUAACACUGAGGCGUGA
rnacentral:rRNA from 1 species